GAUGAAGAACGCAGCGAAAUGCGAUAAGUAAUGUGAAUUGCAGAAUUCAGUGAAUCAUCGAAUCUUUGAACGCACAUUGCGCCCGCCAGUAUUCUGGCGGGCAUGCCUGUCCGAGCGUCAUUUCAACCCUCGAGCCCCUCCGGGGGGUCGGCGUUGGGGAUCGGCCCCUCACCGGGCCGCCCCCGAAGUACAGUGGCGGUCUCGCCGCAGCCUCUCCUGCGCAGUAGUUUGCACACUCGCACCGGGAGCGCGGCGCGGCCACAGCCGUAAAACACCCCAAGCAUUCUGAAAUGUUGACCUCGGAUCAGGUAGGAAUACCCGCUGAACUUAAGCAUAUCAAUAAGCGGAGGA
rnacentral:misc_RNA from 1 species